UUUCUUAGGUGCUUGUGCCUCCAUCUGUUCUUUGCCACCCACUUCAGAUAUAUCAGCGUCUGGACCACGAGACAUCAAGGUAAAAAAAAUGUUGUUAAGUUUCUCCAUCUUCUUGGCAUCUUGGGCUUGGUCAGUCUUAAACUUGAUACACUCUUUAUCAUCAGUGACCUUGAGAACCAAUUUACCAUCAGAAUGUCUGUAUUUCAUCACAUAGCGAGUUUUCUCGGGAUCGGCGCGAAACAACUGUACGGAUCUCUCAACAAAAUCAUCCCAGGAAGUGAUAUACACCAUUCUUCUUCUCUCUGUAUCUGCUAUAUAUAAAUAUAUGUAUAUAUAACUGCUAAUCGAGCGUUCUCUCGGUGACUGUUGACGACGCCGGAGCUAAAUUCAGUGGCCG
rnacentral:misc_RNA from 1 species